UACGUAGGGUGCAAGCGUUAAUCGGAAUUACUGGGCGUAAAGCGUGCGCAGGCGGUUGUGUAAGUCAGAUGUGAAAUCCCCGGGCUCAACCUGGGAAUUGCAUUUGAGACUGCACGGCUAGAGUGUGUCAGAGGGGGGUAGAAUUCCACGUGUAGCAGUGAAAUGCGUAGAGAUGUGGAGGAACACCGAUGGCGAAGGCAGCCCCCUGGGUCGACACUGACGCUCAUGCACGAAAGCGUGGGGAGCAAACAGG
rnacentral:rRNA from 1 species